UUGGUUAUAGAGACCGUAUAAUAUUGCGUCCGCUGGUGCCGGAAGUGUAUAAUAUUGAGUUCGCCGGCGCCGGACGCAAUGUCAUACGGUCUCUUGGAAUUAUUUCAUCUUUUUGAAGAUUUCCGCUAGGGGUUGCUUAAAGAAUAAGAAAUAAUUCAAUAAUAAUUGUUCAUUCUAGAUAUAAACGCCAGAUUCAAUUAACAAUGAAAAUGAACUUGAGAUUGAGGCGUCCGGAAAUGACGAAAUUGACGAUGAUGAUGCUGCAUAUACCCCUGAGUUAAAAUUCGACGACUCCGAUACAGAUCCAAUGUAUGACCCGAAGCAAGAGUCUUUUAAGCGGAAGGGCGUUUUCGAUCGUUGUUGACGGAUUCUUCUGCAUCGUCAAAGAAUAACUCCUUCAAUACGCCAUCGAGCACAGAAAAAUUUGUCAAAAUACCUAUAAUGAUUCACCAAAAUGUAAUUCUAAAAAACCAGAUACGUCCCCAUCUCUGCAUACCAAAUGAAAAAAUCCAGAUCCAACGCUACAAAUGAAUAUAAAUUUGAGCAGCGACAUUAAUUCCAGUUUUUCGCCUCAUAGGCAAUCAGAAAGAAACGAUCCAGUUUCAUCAUCGACAUAUAAACGAAAACGGGAUAAUUGUUACUGUGCGAAGAGGAAGUGCUGAAUUUCGCAAGACAUAUCCAACGAAAUCAUUCCUUGGAAACAUAAGUAAUAAGCAUCAUGGCACUAAAAUAGACCCAUAAUGCAAAGAAAGAAGGGAUCGAAUAGAUAGAUUAGGGAAGAGAGAGAAUUAAUAAUAUGGCCAGUCGGAUAGAUACUCGACUAAAAAACGAGGUGUUUCCUAGAAUGCUUUCUGAUAAAAUAAGAAUGGAAGCAAAAAAAAGAUCCACUUAUUUGUGCAUUCGAAGCACAAUAUUUGAGAAUAAACAGGGAGAAACAUUUUAUGAAUGUUACUUCCCGCGAAAUGAGAGAACUAACAAGGCUUCUAAUGGCGCUUAGGGAAAAAGAGCCAAAAAUAAUUAGCCUUUUUGACGCAUUUCAACCAAAAUAUUUUAAUUCCAUUUGUGAUGCAGUCAAAUCAGUGGCAAAAUACGACCAUAUUAACGAUUCAUAUGUUGCUCCAACUUACGCAAUGAAUAUAGGGACAUCUUUGAAGCAAUGCUGUGAUAUAGCAAUUCUACACAACUUGAAAAACCAGUACUCAGUUUCCUCGGCAGAAACAGAGGUAAACUUGAAAAAUAUGAAGCAUCCAUUCCAACUUCAAGUUGGAAAUUUGAAAUAUCUAGCCAAGCAGGUUCAGAUCUGAAUAUGAAAAAAUGGAAUAAGAUCACCAUUGUUCCCCUUACAGAACAUUCAAAAACGCUAAAAAAUUAUUUGAUUUCAAAAGCCAAAGAAGCAGUCACCAUGCUAACUAAUGAUCCUUGUAAUAAGAUUGCUUUCAAAAUAUUAUUGGAAACUAUUUAUUGUAGAAUAAUUCUACUAAAUAGGAAAAGACCUGGUAAGCUAAAAAGACUUCCUUUUCAAACUUAUGUAAAUUGUGAGGCCAUGGAGGGAAAAACUAAAUACGAAGAAUUCGAUCCAAUUGUAUCGGCAACAGAAAAAAUUUUAUUGAAAAAUUCUGUACUAUUCACGUCCAUGAUUUAAAAAUUAAGCAAUUUGUCAUAGGAAUUUCGACAGGAAUAAAUAAUCAGUUAUGAUUUUGCCAACGUUUCGGAACGUCUUGUUCCUUUUUCAAGGCUGAAAAUAAAAUAUUUAUUAAUCAUAAAUAGAAACAUUAAAAACUUGAUUUCAUACCUCAUCAUACAAUUAAUAAAAUAAAUAUUUAAAAUAGUCAAAAUGAUGAAUAAUCAAACGGUUUCGACGUAUGUCAGUCAAUAGAUUAAAAACAAAAAUCGGAACUGCAUAUGUUCUGGCGCGAUAUAUCAUUGACACAUAUUUUCAAAUUUAGCCUCGGCUUAUUCAACUAUUCGAACCAGCAAAUACACAGCUCAAAAAUAAAAACAAACACGAACACAAGAGGCGAACAUCAA